GAGAGAGGCAAGCUAGCAGCGAAGACUGCUACUCUUCGUAACCCCGGUUGAAUUCCGGCGCUCCCUCG
rnacentral:tRNA from 1 species